UACAGAGGGUGCGAGCGUUAAUCGGAAUUACUGGGCGUAAAGCGUGCGUAGACGGUUAUUUAAGUCGGGUGUGAAAGCCCGGCUCAACCUGGGAAUUGCAUUCGAGACUGAAUAGCUAGGGUACGGUAGAGGAAGCGGAAUUUCCGGUGUAGCGGUGAAAUGCGUAGAUAUCUGGAGGAACACCGGUGCGAAGGCGGCAUCCUGGACCGGUAGUUGACGCUGAGGCGCGAAAGCUAGGGAGCAACGGG
rnacentral:rRNA from 1 species